GAAAAGUUUGUUUACGUUGUUUGAAUUGAAUUUUACAAGAUUUUGUUGAUAAUUCGACUGAUUCAUUCAUGGACGAAUUGAGAGGGCCAAAUAUACAAAUAGUUCUUCAUGUCAAAGAAGGGCUUGGGUUUGGAUUUUUACGGAGUCCUUUUAUUGUAAGCGGCUCCCUGAAUGGAUAUAUGCUGGAGACUGAUCCGGUGGUGCCAACACACGCACCAGUCUUUGAUGCAGAGCUCGUUUGGGAAGCUGACAAAAGAAGAUUUCGGAGCCUUCGAGUACAAAAUGUGCCCGUCAAAGUGGAGGUAUUCACCAUGGGUACACAGGGCAGGAAGGACAAAAUUGGAUAUCUUCUUCUAAGCCUGCUGGGUGCCCAGCCAUGUCCAUCAAAUAAAUUGAAUGAUGUAAAACAUACAUGGCACAGGCUUUUGGGCGUGAAGUCAGAAGGCAAGUGCUGUCAUCCUCAGUUGCUCAUGAGCCUCUCUGUUGAAGACAGAGUUAAUAUUCCAACACCUAGAAACGAGUUGAGGAUGUUUCACAGCAAUGAAAUAGCAUAUCCAGCUUCAAAUUAUGCUCCAAAUCCCAAUCCAAGUGCAGGCAGGACUAUUUUGUUUACAUUAGAGGAGUACAUAGCAGAAAGCAAGAAGACAGUGUCAUCACCUGAGCUUCAGCCAAGAUUGUUGUGUGAGGAAGGCCUCAUACAAAUAGGCGAUGGCAAGCAUCUCUUCGUACUCAGCUUCGUUAUCGAGGCUGUGGAGAAUUUGGACAUGCUUCUGCCUGAAUCUAACCGAGCUCAAAAGGAUGCAGUGGAUUGUUACGUCAGUUAUUCAGUGUUCACACACAAUAUUAUGACAGAUAGGGUUGCCGCCAGCGCGUCGGGCGCCGGGUGCUCCGCGCACUUCAACCAGCGCACGUCGCUGCGGCUGCGCUCGCGGCUGGCAGCCCUGGGCCGGUACUUCGCGCAGUGUCCCUACUUGGUCACCAGGGUGUAUGCGGGCGAUAAGGACGUGGGCAUCUGCAGCAUGGAUCUCCGUAAACUAGUGCCUACUGAAGACCCCAAACAGUUUGUUGAACAGUUCUGUGACCACGAGCGCUCGCUCACCAUACACGAGCGCUGCUUCAUACUGCGCUGCGAUGGUAGACCCAGUGACGAUCAUAGAAGGCCCUUUGUAGACGUGGAAAUGAGCCUGAAGUAUGUUGGGGACAAGAAAGAUAAGGCACAGAAGCCAGCAGUUCUCACGGCUCGUAGUGCGAGCCAACUCGAAAGCAGCAGGAAAGGAUCGGAGCCCGAGCGUGACGUCAGGCUGGACUACAAAAGCGGCAGUUGCACCAAUCUAGACCAAGAUGUAGGUGAAGUGGCCUACACCAACAUCGCUGUCGGAAACACUGCCAGAUACAAAAACGCAUCAGGCGACGCAAUAAUCCAGACGAACGAAAUAACGGAACUAAUUAAGAAAAUGUGCGAUUCCUUCACUUUGACCCAAGAGAAGUUACUCGCAGCUCGAGCUCGUCCUGCAACCAGCGAUAUGCAGGUGCAAUGCGAAGGGAUUGGGCAAGAUAAUCCCACUGUUGGGCAACGGGGUACUACGGAAAGUGGUGAAACGGAAUGUAGAGAUGGCAGUGUGAAAAGUGGGGGCAGCCGUCUGAAUUGUGAUAGGAAUAGUGACGUUAUUGAAAGUAAACCAAUCCGCCUGGAAACAAGCAAGAGCGAAACAUACAUAUCUCAUCAUGAAAGGGAUAUGGUAAAAAUAGCUCUAACGCACGCCGAACGUGACUCCAUAAUGCAGAAAUUCGUUGAUGAAUUAGAAGACUGGAAGGAAAAGCAACAGGAAUUGUUUAAAAUACAGCUGAAACGCAAAGAAGAGUACCACCUAGAUCUCCUAGCCAAGGAGUGGGCCAAGAAACGCUUGGAGGUGGAGACCAAGCUAAGUCGCGGCGUGCAGCAAUGUCGCGCGUUGGCUGCUGACUUGGCGCGAGCUACCGAUGACUUCAGGCUGAGGGGAUAUAGGAACACCGAGCGAGAGAAGAAGUUGCACGAAGCGAAGAAAGCGCUGGAAUCCCACUAUACAGCGAAAUACCAAGAGUUGAGAGACGCAUCCCAAAAGAUGGAGGACGAUAUGAACCACCGCCUAAAGCUCAAGGAAAUGCGCAUCGAAGAGCUGGAGACUACCGUACAGCAGCUGGAGAAACAGCUGGGAGCGAUGAAGACGAAUCUCAAGAACGUUGAAAAGGAUGCAGAGAGCCGAUAUUCAGGUCUAACCAAAGAUCAGACUGCCAGCCUCAUACAGGAGUUGCGCUGCCUAGAAGAGAAGUUAGACAGCGCGGUGCAGUCCAAGGCGUUCUUCAAGGAGCAGUGGGGCCGCGCCGUCAGAGAGCUGCACCUCAACAAGCUGCACACGCGGCGGCAGUUGCUCGCGCGGCUGCAGCGAGAGAGGCAGCAACUGGGCGACGAGGGGUCAGUGUAGAGUCAUUGGAUAGUUGUCGAGAGUCACUGAGGCGGUCUUCAAGGAGCAGUGGGGCCGCGCCGUCAGAGAGCUGCACCUCAACAAGCUGCACACGCGGCGGCAGUUGCUCGCGCGGCUGCAGCGAGAGAGGCAGCAACUGGGCGACGAGGGGUCAGUGUAGAGUCAUUGGAUAGUUGUCGAGAGUCACUGAGGCGGUCUUCAAGGAGCAGUGGGGCCGCGCCGUCAGAGAGCUGCACCUCAACAAGCUGCACACGCGGCGGCAGUUGCUCGCGCGGCUGCAGCGAGAGAGGCAGCAACUGGGCGACGAGGGGUCAGUGUAGAGUCAUUGGAUAGUUGUCGAGAGUCACUGAGGCGGUCUUCAAGGAGCAGUGGGGCCGCGCCGUCAGAGAGCUGCACCUCAACAAGCUGCACACGCGGCGGCAGUUGCUCGCGCGGCUGCAGCGAGAGAGGCAGCAACUGGGCGACGAGGGGUCAGUGUAGAGUCAUUGGAUAGUUGUCGAGAGUCACUGAGGCGGUCUUCAAGGAGCAGUGGGGCCGCGCCGUCAGAGAGCUGCACCUCAACAAGCUGCACACGCGGCGGCAGUUGCUCGCGCGGCUGCAGCGAGAGAGGCAGCAACUGGGCGACGAGGGGUCAGUGUAGAGUCAUUGGAUAGUUGUCGAGAGUCACUGAGGCGGUCUUCAAGGAGCAGUGGGGCCGCGCCGUCAGAGAGCUGCACCUCAACAAGCUGCACACGCGGCGGCAGUUGCUCGCGCGGCUGCAGCGAGAGAGGCAGCAACUGGGCGACGAGGGGUCAGUGUAGAGUCAUUGGAUAGUUGUCGAGAGUCACUGAGGCGGUCUUCAAGGAGCAGUGGGGCCGCGCCGUCAGAGAGCUGCACCUCAACAAGCUGCACACGCGGCGGCAGUUGCUCGCGCGGCUGCAGCGAGAGAGGCAGCAACUGGGCGACGAGGGGUCAGUGUAGAGUCAUUGGAUAGUUGUCGAGAGUCACUGAGGCGGUCUUCAAGGAGCAGUGGGGCCGCGCCGUCAGAGAGCUGCACCUCAACAAGCUGCACACGCGGCGGCAGUUGCUCGCGCGGCUGCAGCGAGAGAGGCAGCAACUGGGCGACGAGGGGUCAGUGUAGAGUCAUUGGAUAGUUGUCGAGAGUCACUGAGGCGGUCUUCAAGGAGCAGUGGGGCCGCGCCGUCAGAGAGCUGCACCUCAACAAGCUGCACACGCGGCGGCAGUUGCUCGCGCGGCUGCAGCGAGAGAGGCAGCAACUGGGCGACGAGGGACUGGACACGAUACUGGACCAGGACGAGGCCAGCCCGCGCGCGGUGGACAUCAACCGCCUCAAGGACGACUUCUACGUCGACAUCCUCGCUAACACCCCCGCCAUCGACUCCACCUCCAUCAUCA